AUCUUCAGGCCAUAAAUGUUACUGUGUCCUCAAGAUAGGGCUAAGAUCAAGUGUAGUAUCUGUUCUUAUCAGUUUAAUAUCUGAUACGUCUUUGAUGUUAAGCAGCUUUUUGGAGAAAGGAGGUGGGUUGGGAGCUUGCUCUGUCCCCUCCAUGCAUCGGUCUGGUAUUGCAGUACUUCCAGGAUAGGUGACUUUCUU